UUUCAGCAAACAAAUAAGGGAGUAAGUUUUAAAUUAUUAAAGUUAAAUAGUGCAUAUUUAUUAUUAUUGAUAGUGAAUUUUUGUGAAAUAUUUUGUUAUAUCUACAUACAUAUAUGUAUAUGUAAAUGUAAAUUUAAAAUCUAAAUUGAGACGAAUUGAGCGGUUACAAUUAUAAUUGUGUAGAAUUUAGAAUACCGUCCCAGGAUUUCGGGAAUAAAAUUGGUAUGGUCGGUUAGAGGAGGUUCAAUCAAUAAUGCAAUCCUUAGUUUAAUAUUAAAAAAAAUCACACGAAUUAGUGAAGUGCUAGUGGACAUAAAAAUGCGAAAUAUAAGUGUAAAAUUAAUUUUAAAUCGAAAAAUACGUUCUCCAAAUAGUGGUAAUUUUUAGCUUUAAACGCAAAUAUCUCGAAUAUUCCCGCGAGUAUAACUAUAUAUAUUUUUGAACUGGAGAACCUCCUCUAUAACUGAAAAUGUUCAUUUGUUUUGUUCGUAUGCAGAAUAUCUAAAAUUGUUUAAAAUAAAAACAACAUUAGUGAUUCAUAAUGAAUAAAAGUGGACAUAGUUCCGAUAUACACAUACGCAUUUCUGCUCCGAAGCAGGAUUUUAAAAAUUAAAAUUAAACUUUUUCAAGUUUACUUCAAGCAAAUUAGGAGAGUCUUUUCAAAAAAAGAUAUUUACAUUUUAAGUUUUUUAAACUAUUUAUAUAGUCUUGUCCUUAGUGCUAAAAUACACAACUUCUUUACUUGGAUGUUGAUCUCAGGAAGAUAUUUCGCAAGUAAAAAAAGGUUAAAUUGUGAGUCCUAAACUUAUAAUGUUGUCUCAUUUAAAAAAAAAUUAAUUAAGAAGUAGAUAUUCUCUUUUAAAAAGACACUUCUGAAAUAUAUUUUCCUCCUGUAAUAUAAAUGUAUAUUAUACUGUAAGUAUGUAUUAACAAAUCAAAAAUCUUUAUCAAACUAAUAUUUGUUGCUAUAAACUACUAAACUUUAAAAUAUUAUUAACAUAAAGUACUAACAUUUCAUUUUAUAAAUUAGUUCACAUUUUUAAUCGGUAUUUUUUAAUUAAAUGGCUACUUAAUAUUUUUCCUUUUUUUUCAGUUUGCGACGUGGAUAUUUGAAUCCUAUCAUACAGUUAAUUUUUAGUUUUAAAUAAUGAAUAAGAAAACCUUUUCGAACCUCUUGAGCAAGGAAAAAUCGAAAUUUGAAGCUACGGUGGCAAAAUUUCGAAGACUGAAUGAAUCUGUUCAAGAGGUUUCAAAUGAUAGUUUCGAUAGUGAUAAUGAACCAAGCACCAGCAGAGCAAGUGGUAAUAGAUUUAAGGAUUUUUGUGAUAGCGAUAACGAAACGAAUAGUAGGUAUUUGUUUGAAGAAGAUUUUCAAUGUGUUGAGGAGGUUGAGGACCACUCCGAUAAAGUGGUCGAAUUGAAGGCGUGGGCAAUUAGAAAUAAUAUUUCUCAAAAUGCUCUCACUGACCUGCUUCAAACUUUAGAUAAAGUUGGUGUUAAUGGCUUGCCAUUAUCAGCGAAACCCCUCUUCGGAACAAUGCGAGAAAAAGUUUGCGUUGAAGCCAUACCAGCUGGAGAGUUUUUGUAUUUUGGAAUAGAAGAAAACUUAAAUUCUCAAGAAUUUGACUUCUUAGAAAAUUUUGUAAAAGUAUAAAGUCGUCAAAAAAUUGUCUGUGGCCUGUCAUGGGUUCAAUUGCCAAUUAUCCUUAUGUUAGUCCAUUUUUAAUUGCCUGCUUCCAAGGAAGAAGCAAACCAAAUAACCCCGAAGAUUUCCUUAAAGAUUUUUGUAAUGAGGUAGGUCUUCUAAGAGUAAACGGACUGAAAGUAGGUAGAAAUCAGGUAAUAAAACAGUUCGAUAUUAGGUCCUUUACCUGUGAUUCACCCGCUCGCGCCUUUGUGACUGGAGUUAUCUCUCAUACAGGGAAAAAUUGUUGCCCAAAAUGUGUAUGCUCAAGUCUUUAUCUGAAAGGUAGAGUUAGUUUUUCAACCAAUGUGGGAUCAGCGCGAACUGAUGAAAGUUUUAGAAUUAGUAGAGAUGGGGAACAUCAUAGAUUAGAGUAUAGGGAGAAAGAAAUUAUAUUAGAAUCUGCAAAUUUUAAUAUGGUUUCACAGUUUCCUUUGGAACCAAUGCAUUUAGUAGAUUUAGGUGUAAUGAAAAAAUUAUUAAAAUUUCUUAUUUCUAAAGGAAAUAUGUCCGUAAUGAAUGAGAAGCUGCGUUAUUUGUCAAAAUAUGUGCCGUCCGAAUUUUGUCGAAUAGUGCGUGACUUUAAUGAAAUAAGCAAUUGGAAAUCAACAGAGUUCCGACAAUUUUUGUUAUAUACAGGUAUAUUUGUUUUAAAAGACUGCAUUGAUGAAUGCCUGUAUUAUCAUUUUCUUUUGCUUCACGUCGCAAUUCGACUUCUUUCGUAUGAGCAGUCAGAAGAACACCAAUUAAAUGUAGCUGACAAAAUUUUGCAAGAAUUUGUUAAUUUGUUUUCAAGUAUACACGGCGAACACUUAAUCAGUUAACUGACUGCGUAAGACGGUUUGACGCUAUUGAUAAUUUCUCCGCAUAUAAGUUUGAGAAUUAUAUGCAAACAUUGAAGAAAAUGAUAAAAAAGGCGGAUAAAGUAUUGCAGCAGUUAAAAAAUAGAUAUUAUGAGAGAAAGAAUAUGUAUGCAGCUUCCAGUAAAGUUUCAAAAUUUGGGGUAUUUUCGUUAGAUUUUAAAAAGGAUAAGGAUAGCUUUUGUUAUUCAGAGAAAACAGGGCCUAUAAAACUCAUUGGCGAAAAAAUAGAGGGCGAUGUUUUUAUAGGCCUUCUUUUUUCUUACGAUUAUUUUCAAGAGCCAGUUGCUUCUGCAGAUUUAGGCAUACUUAUAGGUAAAAUUUCAGAAAAUGAGGUAGUUUUAAGUAGGUUAGAUAUUAAAUAUAAGUAUUUUUCCAUACCUAUAGAUGAUAAAAUUCUUUUAGUCCCACUCAUUCAUCACCUUUUUUAUGAUUUUUCAAAGAAUGAAUUUCGAUGACCUCGUGGAAGAAAUGAAUUCCGAAGUGGAAUGCUCACAACCGUUGAGCCCCCAUAGAGGUUGUAUUGAACUUAAAUAUUAAUAAUAUUUUGUUUACAGAUAGAGUGUUUAAAAAAAUAUCUUACAAUCUCGUUUGCGCUCCUCCAUUAGAAGCAUCACAAAUUGUGGUACCGUCAACAUCGUCUGGCGGUCAUGCAGAUAUAAUCCAGAAGCUGGAUGCCAUUGAGACCCGUCUCACUGCAAUUGAAAAGUCCCUAACAGACAAAGUAAGUAACGCGGUAUUACAUUACCAAAUUAAAACAGAAACAAAUUUUUAUAUUUUAAUUUUCUAGAUGCCAGAAAAGGCCGAGGUGCAGGCGCAAAGUAAGUUAUUGCGCGAAUGCCGCAUCACCGGUGACUUGGAGGACUAGCAUUACGUGGAGCUCGCUUCGAAACUGCCCAUGUCAUCGGAGGAGCACGUGCGCUUCGUGGAAGAAAAACUUUCACAAAAGGAAAGCACGGAUGCUAUGAUGCGGUUAAUAUUGAAGUCGAAGGGCGCAAAAGGCAGUGUUGACGGCGUACUGCGUAUGUUUUCCGACGAUUUGAUGUACCACUACAAUUUAGAGGGGCGCAAGGAGAAGGAAUCCCUACUAUAACUAAAGUGCGUAGGGUUAGUUUUUGAUAUAUUUCCUGACAAGGAUAAAAACACCAUCUGUGGGGAGCUCCGGAGAUUUUGGGCCUUAAGCCACAAUCGUUUUAAGCAAAAAAAAACAUAAGCUUAAGGCAAAAUUAAUAUAAGGUUUCACAUUAUUACUUAUAUAUAUUAGUUUUAAGUUGUAAAUAUUAGCUCUAAGUUGUAUAAAUUAGUUCUAAGUUGUAAAUAUUAGUUAUAAGUUAAACAUAAUAGCUUUAAGUUGUAAAUAUUAGUUUUGAGUUGUAUAAAUUAGUUUUAAG